rnacentral:tRNA from 1 species
GAGGGUAUAGCUCAGUGGUGGAGUAUGUGCUUAGCAUGCAUGAGGUCCUGGGUUCGGUCCCUAGUACUUUCA